UACAGAGGGUGCAAGCGUUAAUCGGAAUUACUGGGCGUAAAGCGUGCGCAGUCGGUUAUUUAAGUCGGGCGUGAAAGCCCCGGGCUCAACCUGGGAAUUGCGUUCGAUACUGGAUAGCUAGAGUUCGGCAGAGGGAAGCGGAAUUUCGGGUGUAGCGGUGAAAUGCGUAGGUAUCCGAAGGAACAUCAGUGGCGAAAGCGGCUUCCUGGACCAGAACUGACGAUCAGGCACGAAAGCGUGGGGAGCAAACAGG
rnacentral:rRNA from 1 species